GGAGUAUUACUCAGCAAUCAAAAAAAAAAAAAAGAAAUCCUGCCAUUUGCAACUACAUGGAUGGAACUGGAGGGUAUCGUGUUCAGCAAAAUGAGUCCGUCAGAAAGAGACAAAUACCAUAUGAUUUCACUCACGUGUGGAAUUUAAGAAACAAAACAGAUGAACAUAGGGGAAGGGAAGGAACAAUAAGAUAAAUACAGAGACGGAGGCAAACCGCAAGAGAGACUCU